CCUACGGGUGGCAGCAGUGGGGAAUAUUGGGCAAUGGGCGCAAGCCUGACCCAGCAACGCCGCGUGAAGGAAGAAGGCUUUCGGGUUGUAAACUUCUUUUCUCAGGGACGAAGGAAGUGACGGUACCUGAGGAAUAAGCCACGGCUAACUACGUGCCAGCAGCCGCGGUAAUACGUAGGUGGCAAGCGUUAUCCGGAUUUAUUGGGUGUAAAGGGCGUGUAGGCGGGAGCGCAAGUCAGAUGUGAAAACUCAGGGCUCAACCCUGAGCCUGCAUUUGAAACUGUGUUUCUUGAGGGCUGGAGAGGAGAGGGGAAUGCGGGGUGUAGGGGGGAAAUGCGAAGAAAUAGGGAGGAACAGCAGUGGAGAGGGGGUAUAGCGGGAAAAUAACUGACGCUGGGGAGCGAAAGCGUGGGGAGAAAACAGGAUUAGAUACCCGGGUAGUC
rnacentral:rRNA from 1 species